UACGGGGGGGGCAAGCGUUGUUCGGAAUUACUGGGCGUAAAGGGCUCGUAGGCGGCCUUGUUAGUCGGACGUGAAAUCCCUCGGCUUAACCGGGGAACUGCGUCCGAUACUGCGAGGCUUGAAUCCGGGAGAGGGAUGCGGAAUUCCAGGUGUAGCGGUGAAAUGCGUAGAUAUCUGGAGGAACACCGGUGGCGAAGGCGGCAUCCUGGACCGGUAUUGACGCUGAGGAGCGAAAGCCAGGGGAG
rnacentral:rRNA from 1 species